rfam:Collinsella tanakaei YIT 12063 genomic scaffold supercont1.11, whole genome shotgun sequence.
CGGGAAGAUAUGUAGGGCGCACGGCGGAUGCCUUGGCACAGGAAGCCGAUGAAGGACGCGGCAAGCUGCGAUAAUCCGCGGUUAGGGGCACACACCCUUCGACCCGCGGGUCUCCGAAUGGGCGAACCCGCCAGGAGAUGUCCUGGCAUCCCCCUUGGGAACUCAUACCUUGGGGGAGGACAACCCGGGGAACUGAAACAUCUAAGUACCCGGAGGAGAAGAAAUCAACUGCGAGAUUCCCCGAGUAGCGGCGAGCGAAAGGGGACCGAUGGCCAAACCGGCGAGCGGGCGGGCGCCAGCCUAUACCGCCGCCGGGGUUGCAGGGCCUCCCGCCCGGGAGCUGGCGCUCCCGGCGGGGAUCCAUCCAGGGGAGCCGAACGGCAUGGGAGGGCCGGCGGCACAGGGUUACAGCCCCGUAGGCGCACCCUGGGAUGGACCCCGGCGGAGGUCCCUGAGUAGGGCCGGGCACGUGAAACCCGGUCCGAAGCAGGGGGGACCACCCUCCAAGCCUGAAUACUCUCCUGUGACCGAUAGCGCACAAGUACCGUGAGGGAAAGGUGAAAAGCACCCCGGGAGGGGAGUGAAACAGUACCUGAAACCGUGCGCCCGCAAGGCGUCGGAGCACCCUUUUAGAGGUGUGACGGCGUGCCUUUUGUAGAAUGAGCCAGCGAGUUGCUGGCCGUCGGCGAGGUUAAGCUGGAAAGCGAGCCGGAGCGAAAGCGAGUCCGAAACGGGCGACCAUAGUCGGCGGCCGCAGACGCGAAGCCGGGUGAGCUACCCGUGGGCAGGCUGAAGCGGGGGUAAGACCCCGUGGAGGGCCGAACGCACGUCGGUUGAAAACGGCGGCGAUGACCUGCGGGUAGGGGUGAAAGGCCUAUCAAACCCGGAGAUAUCUCGUUCUCCCCGAAAUAGCUUUAGGGCUAGCGUCGCGCGUUAACCCCGGGAGGUAGAGCACCGGAUCGAUGAGGGGGCUUCGCCGCCUACCGAUUCGAACCGAACUCCGAAUGCCCGAGGGUCUAGAGCGCGGCAGUCAGAACAUGUGGGCUAAGCUGUGUGUUCGAGAGGGAAACAGCCCAGACCGCCCGCUAAGGUCCCAAAUUCAGAGCCGAGUGGCAAAGGAUGUGCGUCCGCGCAGACAACCAGGAGGUUGGCUUAGAAGCAGCCACCCCUUCAAAGAGUGCGUAACAGCUCACUGGUCGAGUGGACAUGCGCCGACAAUACACGGGGCUAAGCUCUGAACCGAAGCGGCGGGAUGAUUCAAAUCAUCGGUAGGGGAGCGUCCCAGCGGGGGCGAAGCGGGAGGGGAACCGACCGUGGACCUUCUGGGAGCGAGAAUGCUGGCAUGAGUAGCGAGAGACGAGAGGGUAACUCGUCCGCCGUAAACCCGAGGUUUCCUGGGCAAGGCUAAUCCUCCCAGGGUCAGUCGGGGGCUAAGGCGAGGCCGGAAGGCGUAGUCGAAGCGCAGCAGGCAGACAUUCCUGCACCGCGAUGGAACCGUCACGACCGACGGGGCGACGGAUUGGGGUGGCUCGGCGGGGUUCUGGACGUCCCCGUGAUGGAGCGCGGCCCGGAGACCAGGCAAAUCCGGUCUCCAGGAGGGCGAGGCUCCGGACGAAGCGAUCGAGCGAAGCGAGUGAGCCCGAGGUCCCUAGAAAAACCCCUAGGCAGGCGCCAUCGCGCCCGUACCGCAAACCGACACAGGUGGGUGGGUAGAACAUACCGAGGCGAUCGGGUCAACCAUGGUUAAGGAACUCGGCACAAUGGCCCCGUAACUUCGGGAGAAGGGGUGCCCCCGCGUACGUGAACCGGCUCGCCCGGGGAGCGGAGGGGGGCCGCAGUGAAGAGGCCCAAGCGACUGUUUACCAAAAACACAGGACUCUGCAUAAGCCGCGAGGCGACGUAUAGGGUCUGACGCCUGCCCGGUGCCGGAAGGUCACGCGGAGGUGUUAGCGCGAGCGAAGCACCGAAGCCAAGCCCCGGUAAACGGCGGCCGUAACUAUAACGGUCCUAAGGUAGCGAAAUUCCUUGUCGGGUAAGUUCCGACCUGCACGAAAGGCGCAACGACUUGGGCGCUGUCUCAACCAUGGACCCGGUGAAAUUCCACUAGUCGUGAAGAUGCGACUUACCCGCGGAAGGACGGAAAGACCCCGUGAACCUUCACUGCAGCUUGGCAUUGGCCGCUGGUCCGGCGCGUAGAGGAUAGGCGGGAGGCAUCGAUGCGGGGGCGCCAGCCCCCGCGGAGCCGCCCUUGGAAUACCGCCCUCGCCGCACCGGCGUCCUAACCCCGUCCCGUGGAGCCGGGCGGGGGACCGUGCCAGGUGGGCAGUUUGACUGGGGCGGUCGCCUCCUAAAAGGUAACGGAGGCGCGCGAAGGUCCGCUCGGGACGGUCGGCAACCGUCCUUUUGAGUGCAAGAGCGUAAGCGGGCUUGACUGCGAGGCCCACGAGCCGAGCAGGUGCGAAAGCAGGCUCUAGUGAUCCGGCGGCCCCACGUGGGAGGGCCGUCGCUCAACGGAUAAAAGGUACUCCGGGGAUAACAGGCUGAUCUUGCCCAAGAGUCCACAUCGACGGCAAGGUUUGGCACCUCGAUGUCGGCUCAUCGCAUCCUGGGGCUGGAGCAGGUCCCAAGGGUACGGCUGUUCGCCGUUUAAAGCGGUACGCGAGCUGGGUUCAGAACGUCGUGAGACAGUUCGGUCCCUAUCCUCCGCGGGCGCAGGAGAAUCGAGGGAGGCUGCCCCUAGUACGAGAGGACCGGGGUGGACGGACCUCCGGUGAACCGGUUGUCGACCAACGGCAUGGCCGGGUAGCCGCGUCCGGCGCGGAUAACCGCUGAAGGCAUCUAAGCGGGAAGCCGUUCCCGAGAUCAGUUCUCCUUCUGGUAAGGGCCCAGGUAGAACACCUGGUCGAUAGGCCGCAGGUGCAAGGUCGGCGACGGCCUCAGCCGAGCGGCACUAAUCGCCCGAGCUCUUACCCGCA